rnacentral:lncRNA from 1 species
GCAGCUAGGGGUUGCCCACGCGGUCGUGGCAGGCUCUAACAGGCUGCAGAGAUGAGGGAAGCAGGCAGGAAGCUCAGAAGAAAGCCAAUCGAUGACCCUUAGAAGGAGGAUGGCUGCUUUUAGACUCACCACUUCCAACUUACAACCCAAGAUAGUAUGUUCACUGAAGAAGCAAAGAUACUGCAUUUGACCAACUAGGCACCCAGGAAGUGAAUGAAUAGUCAUGCAAGUAAAACAUCAAAGACUUGAAAAAUUCUUCUAGGGGUUUUCUGUUCAGAGGUCCAAUCUUUAGGAUGUAAAAAUUAAGUAAAUAAGAAAAUUAUGUUUAAAUCUUUUAAAAUAUUUUGUAAAUUCCCAUUAAAGAUACUGUAUCUAGGGGAGUAUAUAUCAUAUCUUGCCAUCUAUGUGAAAUAAUGGGAUGGAAAGCCAUAUGUGUUUGCUUAUAUAUGAUGGACUGUUUCUGGAAUGAUUCAGAAGAAAUUGGUAACUGGGUGACACCAGGAAGAAGAACUUAGUGUGAAUCGGGAAUCAGAGGAAACUAUUUCACUGGGUGCUCUUUGGCCCUUUUGAAUUUUGAACUACAAAUGUAUUGAUUAGCUCUUCACAGUAAAAAUAAAGAAAAUUAAAACUUCAAG